rnacentral:snoRNA from 1 species
GGGUCGAUGAUGAGAACCUUUUAUUGUCUGCGAGAGGUGAUGACAUAAAAAUCAUGCUCAAUAGGAUUACGCUGAGGCCC